rnacentral:rRNA from 1 species
AAACUUAAAGGAAUUGACGGGGAGCACUACAACGGGUGGAGCCUGCGGUUUAAUUGGACUCAACGCCGGAAAACUCACCGGGGGCGACAGCAAUAUGUAGGUCAAGCUAAAGACUUUACCAGAAUCGCUGAGAGGAGGUGCAUGGCCGUCGUCAGUUCGUACUGUGAAGCAUCCUGUUAAGUCAGGCAACGAGCGAGACCCGUGCCCACUGUUGCCAGCAUGUCCUUCGGGACGAUGGGUACUCUGUGGGGACCGCCGAUGCUAAAUCGGAGGAAGGUGCGGGCUACGGUAGGUCAGUAUGCCCCGAAUCUCCCGGGCUACACGCGGGCUACAAUGACUGGGACAAUGGGCUCCUACCCCGAAAGGGGAUGGUAAUCUCAUAAACCCAGCCGUAGUUCGGAUCGAGGGCUGCAACCCGCCCUCGUGAAGCUGGAAUCCGUAGUAAUCGCGUUUCAACAUAGCGCGGUGAAUACGUCCCUGCUCCUU